ACUCAGGCUCGGUGUCCGCCUGAGACCGACCGCACCAUCGUCGAUGAUGCAUCGGACCCUUACGAGGAUCGAUAUAUUUAUAUUGAUUGGAGUUGACACUCCUUCGACGGUCAACGAAACAUCGGACCCUUACGAGGACCGAUAUAUUUAUAUUGACGGGAGUUGACACUCCUUCGACGGUCGACGAAACAUCGGACCCCUACGAGGAUCGAUAUAUUUAUAUUGACGGGAGUUGACACUCCUUCGAUGGUCGUACUUUCGGGCC
rnacentral:lncRNA from 1 species